rnacentral:tRNA from 1 species
UGGAUUGAAGCCAGUUGUAUUAGGUGUUUAGCUGUUAACUAAAUUUUUGCAGGUU